AAAGGUGGCCAUUUGCAAACAAGUUCUCAAAUCUCAACACAGUCUUUCAUAUUUGCAUAUAGUCUGUUUGUUUGCUUCACAAAUAAUAUACUGAAAUACUUUUCCUCUAUACUCCUCUUUUCUUUUCUUGUGUUCAUUUUUCAAGAUGCAAAAGCAAGAAAACCAAGUGAACCAACCUCCUCCAGGUUAUCCUACUGAAUCUACACCAACUGGAAAGAAGAACAAGAAGAUGAAGUGCUUUCCUAGAAGUAAACCAAAAGGAGAAAGGGGAUUCCUUGAAGGAUGCCUCUUUGCACUAUGCUGCUGCUGGAUAUGUGAAGUUUGUUUUGAUUAAAUAUUUAGGAUUUGGCCACAUAUAAAGAAGUCCAUGAGUCCUUUUUAUGUUGAUCUAUUGAACUACUGAUGUAAUAUAUACUUCUGUAUUCUGUAUUCCUCAAUAUACUUCUGUAUAUUGGUUAAGGUGUGUUACUUGUCUUUCAAUUAGUUUUAUACUAUCUUGAGUUUUGUAAGAAUCGUUGUGUAAGCAAUACUAGAGAUAAUACAUGUCUUACGUACCUAGA